CGAAUCUGUUAAAAAGAUAACAAAAGCAGUUUUUUUUUAAAAAGAAAAUAAACUGGAUGAAGUACAGAACCAACUUGAUAUAGAAAUAGAAGAAUUUCAAUACGAUCUAAAAAACAAAGAAUGGAUAUACGAACAUCAAAAAAACAUCUACGAAAGUUUGGAGAGAUUAAUGCAUGUAUCACAUGACAUCACCUUUAUCACUGCAUACGAAACCCUGAAGAGAGAGAUUCAUGACAUCAGUGAUUUCGUUGGAGAAAGAGGUCAAAAACAAGUAUACAGGUUUGAUCAGAAGGUGUUUGUUCAGGAAGUUGUUAAUGCAAUUGUGUCUGAUUUUGAAAUGAGUUUGGUAGGCAGGGAAGAUGGAAGCGUUGUUUUAAUGAACAAAACAGAAACAGAAAAGAAGGAAAAGGAAUAAAAAGCAGAAAAAGAAUACUUCAUCAAUGAACACUUUCCGUAAAAAACGACAUCCGGAAAUUAGAGAAUAUAUUGAAUUACCAAUGCACUGUGUAUGCAGCAACAUUAAACCAUUGUCGUGAUGUCAGCCUAUUCAUUUACUGUGGAUUCUUUUUCUAGAAUCAACGCUUCCUAAAUCUGUCGCUGAAAUGGACUCACCAAAUUAUAUUCAAUUGUUUCCUUUGUGUACUUAAUUUCAUUACGUUUGAAUUGGCUAAUUUACUGAUUUAUGUUCACUAAUGGAAUUAAUUUAAAAACUUACCUUCAAUAUUUGUAAUUUCUAUAUGCCUUCACUGGGAAUCGAACCCGUCCUUGAAAUCUAUUAUGUGUGACUGACAUCAACAUAUCGACGAAACCUCUCGGCUACCAAUGGGUUACAAAGUAAAUGUCUAUUUCAUAUAUAUGAAUGAACAUAUAAUAUACAUCGGUACAACGGACACACAGGGCUAGUACCUUUAUAUAUACAUAGUUUAGGCAAUUGUAUAGUAUAAGUUGAUAGCCGCGAGGUUACCAUUGUUAAGAUCAAUGAGUUAAAGGUAGGGACUUGUCGGUUUAAGUUAAAAUCCCUGUUUUCUCUUUGUUGUCCCUAUUCUUUAGUUUUUCCGGUUUUUAUUUUUCUUUCUUGUUUGGAUGUUAUUGUGGAUAUGUUUGUAAUAAUAGCGAGUUUUACCGUUUAUUUUUGGAUUAUUUUAGGCUAUUUCACAUAUUUGAAACGAAAAUGAUUACAUUCUAUUUGUUCACUUUUGUUUUAUAAAUAAAGUAUGAUUUCAUCUGUUAAUAAUUUUUCAAAUGAUUAUUCCUAAAUUCCUAUGCGAGAAAAUCGUGAUGUGCCUAG